rnacentral:rRNA from 1 species
AUUGAACGCUGGCGGCAGGCCUAACACAUGCAAGUCGAACGAGCGGCGGACGGGUGAGUAACGUCUGGGAAACUGACCGAUGGAGGGGGAUAACUACUGGAAACGGUAGCUAAUACCGGAUAUUAUCGGCACUGACAAGGUGGGAUUAGCUUGUAGGUGAGGUAACGGCUGACCUAGGCGACGAUCCCUAGCUGGUCUGAGAGGAUGACCAGCCACACUGGAACUGAGAAACGGUCCAGACUCCUACGGGAGGCAGCAGUGGGGAAUAUUGCACAAUGGGCGCAAGCCUGAUGCAGCCAUGCCGCGUGAAUGAAGAAGGCCUUCGGGUUGUAAAGCACUUUAAGUAGGGAAGCGUUACCCACAGAGGAAGCACCGGCUAACUCCGUGCCAGCAGCCGCGGUAAUAC